rnacentral:misc_RNA from 1 species
CGCUACAUGCGGGCAGUAUACGCGCAAAGUAAAACUAAAUUAUACAUACACCAGUGAAAGAAGAAGUGAACAAACAAAUGUUAUUGGGUUUUCUAAUUAAGAUAUGCAAAUUCAUUUUGGAGUUAUUUGUUAAAUAAAGUAUAUUAUUUCGUCACACGGAUAUACAACACGGAAGGUAUCGGAAAACUGUGAUCUUACCACAAAAGAAAGUACCAGAACCGGGAUAUUAAAGUUGCUAAGUUACAGAACAACUUGAAUUUCUGAUGUCCAGAUCACAGUUUGUGUUGUGGUCAUGGAUACACUUGCUAUUUUGUGUAUCCAUGGUAACGAGCUGGUAUGGUGAAGCUUACUACAACGACAGAUAUGGUGGACAAGGAAUCGCUUAUGAUUCGGUUGACCGGACAUACGGAUUAUGGUCAGACGAGGGAGGUCUACACAGUAACUACCUUUUAAGCAAUGACUAUUGGUCAGGAGAAGAUUGCUCGGGAUGUACGUGCAAUGAUGCUGCCGGAGUUAUCACUUCGUGUACUGGAUCAACUGUUUCGAUACGAGGUAAAUCAAUGGUGAAUAUAACAGCAGGAACGUUCUCAGAGACAACAACAAGCAUAACUAUCAUCAACUGUCCAAAUUUUCAACUUUUCGAGGAUGAAACAUUCGUAAAUCUAACAAGUCUUCAAGAACUUGUCGUUCAGGGUACAGCAUUGAACCACGUGCCGGAUUUAUCCACGACAGCUGUUACAAAAGUAAAUCUGGCUGGUAACGUUAUAUCUCUGAGUACAGACAACCACCGUGGCUGGAGAUGGCCGACAACAAUACAGUACUUGGCGAUGAUGGACAACUUGCUGUACUGGCUACCAGAAAAUUUUGUAGAUGGACCGAACCUCAGAAUUGCGAGUUUUGGUAACAAUCAGCUGUUACAGAUACAUCCCACAAUAUUUGGUGAUACUUCUUCCUUGAUCUACCUUGGAAUGGAUGGUAACAGGAUAAGCAGAUUGUCCAGGAAUAGUAUUGCUGCAUUGGCAACCAGCAACUUUCAACAUUUAAAUAUAAGUAACAACGAAAUAGUAUUCAUCCAGGCUGGAACGUUUGACCAGUUAUCAAACCUAAAAAUUCUGGAAGUUCAUGGAAAUUUACUGCCAACCAUCAGCGUUAAUGUGUUCUCUAACAUGCCAGAGUUAUUGCACUUGGACUUACAUGCUAACGAUAUAUCUGCGUUGCCCAGAAAAAGUUUCGAGAAUCUUCCCAAAUUGAUGGAAUUAAGAUUACACUCCCAGAAAACUCCUAUGACGUCAAUAGCUUAUGAUGCUUGGACCAACAUAGGAGAUGAACUCAUAAACUUGUUUGUGAGCCAGAAUGGUUUGUCGACAUACCCUCAUCAAGUUUUAGAGGAAGGUUCAUAUCCAAAAUUAGAGAGAAUUUUUGCAGACAACAACGCAAUAUCGAAUGUGACGGAAUAUGGAUCUGAAGCGUUUCCCACCUCCCAGAAGUUCUUAUACUCCCAGAAGAGGCUGACAUUUACACCAUUCGCUGCUUAUCCCGCUUUACACACAUUGUAUCUUCAUGCUAAUUUGAUUACACACAUAGAGAGUGAUGACUUCUGCAACAUGACGAAUCUACAAAACUUGUACAUCAAUAGAAACUUACUCACUGAAGAUAACAUAGACGAUGAUGCUUUCCAGUGUUUGCCUGUACUCGACCUUCUACAGAUGGGAAGCAAUCUGAUACAGUAUGUACCAAAUGCAUUGAAGAGCAGCACAGUUCUUCCAGCUCUAACAGAGUUAUAUAUGCAGAACAACCACAUCACGUUCCUGGAAACUGGCACAUUCACCAAUCUAUCAACGUUAUCCACACUAAUAUUGACUGAAAAUAAAAUUGUAGCCAUAGAAAACAACGUAUUCAAUGCAGACAUUGAAUAUUUGAAACUGGACGGCAAUGAAUUCCGCUUCACACACCAAUUUCCAUUCAGCAACUUACAAAAUAUGAAACUUUUGUGGCUUAGUAGUAAUGUCAUAGAUUACAUUCCACCGUCUGCUUUUGCAAACUGCACUUCCCUAAUAGAGAUUCAAAUGGCCUACAACAAUAUAGCCCAGUUACUAAAGUCGCAUUUUGAGAACUGUCCGCUGUCUGGGGAUAUUUUGUUCAAUGACAAUGAUAUUGGAUACAUAGAGGACGGCACCUUUGAUCACGUUACUUCUAUGACAAGAUUUACUGUAGCAAACAACGUAUUGACAAGACUUCCAAAUGGUGGCGACUUUGCAGACCUGUCCAUUAUUGAUGCUGGAGAUACUCUGCAAGGAACAUUGGACUUUUCUAACAACCGACUUGUCUUCCUCGAGACUAACACAUUUGUGAAUCUCGCUGUUGCAGAUUAUCUAUCACUUGCUAAUAACAAAAUUACAAAAAUUGCUACGGAAGCAUUUAACGGAUUGUCAGCCACAUACCUGAACUUACAAGGAAACAGCUUACGAGAACUGAACUGGAAAUCUUUCACAUCCGUCUCUCUGUCAGAAAGCAUGUAUAUCAACGACAUGUACUUUAGCACUAUACCUACUAUGGCGCUGUACGAUGUAUCUGCAAAAAAUAUAGACAUCAGUAAUGGAGGCAUUACCACAGUCGAGGACGAAGCAUUCUUCAAUGUUGUUGUCAGUGGAAACCUGGAUCUUGCGGACAAUAACAUAGGAACAGUGACCGGGCCAAUGUUUGGAGGAACCUCGAGUGUUGGACAAUUCUUCUACCUCAACAAUAACAAUAUCAUCGGUUUGAGCAUAGACGCUUUUGAUAAUGUAGUAAUUGAAUACAUUUAUCUCAAUGACAAUGAGCUGACGGUAUACCCUCAAGCCAUCACAACUGCACAGAAUCCAGACAGAAUAUACAUUGAAAAUAACCAGUUGUCGCAGAUUCCGGAUGGGUCUUUCAACGGAAUGACAAAUCUGAAGAGAUUAUAUUUGACUGGAAACAACAUCGAUUUCAUUCAGUCUGGUUUAUUUACCGAUCUCACAGGACUGGUAUAUCUUGCCCUUGGAAACAACGUUAUCGAGCGGAUUGAUACAGAUAUAUUUGAUACCUUGUCAAACUUACAAUACAUCUACUUGCAAAAUAACCUCCUUAACCAUUUUCCUGCUCUUGGCACACAGUCCAUGAAAACUAUCGAUCUAGGUUCAAACGCCAUCGAAACUGUCGCCACUGCAGCGUUUUCAAGUCUUACUACUCUGUCUUCACUGGUUCUUACUAGCAACCCGCUUGCUUGCCAGUGUCAACUAGUAUCCGCUCUCCAUGACGUUGCCAGCACUAUUACUGGAGGUGAAUGCCAGUACCCUACGGCAGCAAAUGGAAUUGCGUUUGAUUAUGGUCUGCUCACUGAUCCAACAUAUUACUUCAGUAGUGAUAGCUACAAUGCCUCACUGUUCCAAUGUUCUGGUGAUAAUGUGAUUGCUACAGCUAAUUCUGGUACAGAGAUCGAAGUAACAUGGGACCAGCCAACCUACUUGUAUUUCCAGCCUAACGGAACAAUUGGACCUUCGCCCACGCUUACUGGAUCCGUAGAAUACCAGGUGACUUGUGUCAGCGACACUGCAUCAACACUGUAUAACACGGAGACCGAUGGAAAUGCCACUGCCGGAUCUACUUCAUUCUCUAUGACCUUUAACACUGGAGUAGUCCCCGGUACCACGUAUGAAUGUUCUAUUAAGAUGGUGUAUUCAUCAUUUGCUAGUGCAAAAAGUAGUCCGUCUGUUGUCAUUACCCCUGAUGCUGUAGUCCCUGGGCCUGGAGCUGGUGCAAGUGACGUGGAACUUGACGUCAAAUAUUACGACUUCAGUAAGUCUCAUGCCGACUUCAACGAUCUAUCUUACCCUACAAUCAGUUCUCCAUCGUACGUUGCUAGUCCAUACGGUGCCUGGCUGUCAAUAUCGAAUAAUCCAACAGCUGAUACGUUCUCCACCUGGUACCGUGAAGAUAGCUCAGUAAACUACGAGAUUUCCGACACCAUUAUACUGUAUGCUCAAACUGGAACUAUUAAAAAGUACUGGAGUGACGAGUUUUUUCCAGUUGAUGGCCAGGGAUUUACUGCAGAACAGCAACAAGAUUGUAACGGCACAUACCAUAACUUUGGUUUUACAACAGCGAUUCGAUCAGGAAUAAAAUUCGCCGGGACCGAACAAAUCACACUAGGUGGAGGGGAGGCAAUGUGGUUGUUCAUAAACAAGAUCAGCUUGAUUGACUAUGUUUCAACAGAUGCUGCGAGCAAGGAAUGUUUUUACAUAGAUCUAUCACCGGCUCUCACUGUCGGCGGUGGGUUAGUUGUUCCGCAGCAAGGUACAAUAUCCGGCGGUGCUUGCACUGGUUUGACGGCGAUGUCUACUAAUGCCACAAUGGAACUAGAGGUAGAUGAGAUAUACCACUUUGAUUUGUUUCUGGCCGAGACAAAGAGAUGUACAUCUGAAUUUUUGUUUCAAGUUGAAGAUACCACCUUCAGUCAGGAUCCUACAGCCGAGCUUUCCACUCGAUUACAGCGCAACAAUAGCAGAAGAUUUUUAUGUGGAUGAUAUUGUAACUACAGUGUAUUUGACCGAUGCAUUUUCAGUAGGACCAUACGAGAUAACGUUGUAUGCAGGAAAUGAAAAUCGGUUGUUUGAGUUCAAAGAAGAUACAGUGGGCAAUCAGUUCACUGCACCAGCUGCCGUCUCACCAAACUAUACGACAAUAGUCGACAUUGACGGAAAUACUGUUAACU